rnacentral:rRNA from 1 species
UACGUAGGGAGCGAGCGUUGUCCGGAUUCAUUGGGCGUAAAGAGCUCGUAGGCGGCUUGAUAAGUCGGAUGUGAAACCUCCAGGCUCAACCUGGAGUCGCCAUCCGAUACUGUCAUGGCUAGAGUCCGGUAGGGGCCCACGGAAUUCCUGGUGUAGCGGUGAAAUGCGCAGAUAUCAGGAGGAACACCAAUGGCGAAGGCAGCUCGCUGGGACGGUACUGACGCUGAGACACGAAAGCGUGGGGAGCAAACAGG